rnacentral:lncRNA from 1 species
UGGUUAUGUCAUCAUAGAUUAGAAUAUACUAGUAUGAAUGCUAUUUCAAAAUUGAUUGCUAGAGACUUAGUUAAAAGAUUAUCAAAGUUAAAUUUUAAAAGAAUCAAAUUUAGGAUAUAUGCUAUUUAAAAAAUAAACUAGGAGAUCUUUUAAACCUAAGAAUAUAAUUUCAACUACUAGGUCGUUAGAGUUGAUCCAUAUGGAUUUAUUUGGCCCCACUAAGACUACAAGCCU